CUGGAGGUAUCAGAAGUGCGAAUGCUGACAUAAGUAACGAUAAAGCGGGUGAAAAGCCCGCUCGCCGGAAGACCAAGGGUUCCUGUCCAACGUUAAUCGGGGCAGGGUGAGUCGACCCCUAAGGCGAGGCCGAAAGGCGUAGUCGAUGGGAAACAGGUUAAUAUUCCUGUACUUGGUGUUACUGCGAAGGGGGGACGGAGAAGGCUAUGUUGGCCGGGCGACGGUUGUCCCGGUUUAAGCGUGUAGGCUGGUUUUCCAGGCAAAUCCGGAAAAUCAAGGCUGAGGCGUGAUGACGAGGCACUACGGUGCUGAAGCAACAAAUGCCCUGCUUCCAGGAAAAGCCUCUAAGCAUCAGGUAACAUCAAAUC
rnacentral:rRNA from 1 species